CCUACGGGUGGCUGCAGUGGGGAAUAUUGCGCAAUGGGGGAAACCCUGACGCAGCGACGUCGUGUGAGGGAAGAAGGCCUUCGGGUCGUAAACCUCUGUCAGAAGGGAAGAACAUCCGGGAGUCGAACAGCCUCCCGGCCUGACGGUACCUUCAGAGGAAGCGCCGGCUAACUCCGUGCCAGCAGCCGCGGUAAUACGGAGGGCGCAAGCGUUCAUCGGAAUCACUGGGCGUAAAGCGUACGUAGGCUGCGAAAUCCCUCGGCUCAACCGGGGAACUGCGUUUGAUACUGUUGAGCUAGAGUCCUGGAGAGGGUGGCGGAAUUCCUGGUGUAGGAGUGAAAUCCGUAGAUAUCAGGAGGAACACCGGUGGCGAAGGCGGCCACCUGGACAGGUACUGACGCUGAGGUACGAAAGCGUGGGGAGCAAACAGGAUUAGAUACCCCGGUAGUC
rnacentral:rRNA from 1 species